GACGAGGGACCUAGCGUUGUUCGGAAUCAUUGGGCGUAAAGAGUAUGUAGGCGGCCUUGUAAGUCAGUUGUGAAAGCCCCGGGCUCAACCCGGGAAGUGCAAUUGAUACUGCUUGGCUUGAAUGUGGAAGAGGGCAGUAGAAUUCCAGGUGUAGUGGUGAAAUACGUAGAUAUCUGGAGGAAUACCGGUGGCGAAGGCGGCUGCCUGGUCCUACAUUGACGCUGAGAUACGAAAGCAUGGGGAGCAAACAGG
rnacentral:rRNA from 1 species